rnacentral:rRNA from 1 species
UACGGAGGGGGCUAGCGUUGUUCGGAAUUACUGGGCGUAAAGGGCGCGUAGGCGGACAGUUUAGUCAGAGGUGAAAGCCCAGGGCUCAACCUUGGAAUUGCCUUUGAUACUGACUGUCUUGAGUACGGGAGAGGUGUGUGGAACUCCGAGUGUAGAGGUGAAAUUCGUAGAUAUUCGGAAGAACACCAGUGGCGAAGGCGACACACUGGCCCGUUACUGACGCUGAGGCGCGAAAGCGUGGGGAGCAAACAGG